UACGGAGGGUGCAAGCGUUAUCCGGAUUUACUGGGUUUAAAGGGUGCGUAGGUGGGUAGGUAAGUCAGUGGUGAAAUCUUCAAGCUUAACUUGGAAACUGCCAUUGAUACUAUUUAUCUUGAAUACUUUGGAGGUAAGCGGAAUAUGUCAUGUAGCGGUGAAAUGCUUAGAUAUGACAUAGAACACCAAUUGCGAAGGCAGCUUACUACACAGUAAUUGACACUGAGGCACGAAGCGUGGGGAUCAAACAGGA
rnacentral:rRNA from 1 species